GAUGAAGAACGCAGCGAAAUGCGAUAAGUAAUGUGAAUUGCAGAAUUCAGUGAAUCAUCGAAUCUUUGAACGCACAUUGCGCCCCUUGGUAUUCCAUGGGGCAUGCCUGUUCGAGCGUCAUUUGUACCUUCAAGCUCUGCUUGGUGUUGGGUGUUUGUCUCGCCUCUGCGCGCAGACUCGCCUCAAAACGAUUGGCAGCCGGCGUAUUGAUUUCGGAGCGCAGUACAUCUCGCGCUUUGACAACAAAACGACGACGUCCAAAAAGUACAUUUUUUACACUCUUGACCUCGGAUCAGGUAGGGAUACCCGCUGAACUUAAGCAUAUCAAUAAGCGGAGGA
rnacentral:misc_RNA from 1 species